rnacentral:rRNA from 1 species
UACGAAGGGGGCUAGCGUUGCUCGGAAUCACUGGGCGUAAAGGGGGCGUAGGCGGGUCUUUAAGUCAGGGGUGAAAUCCUGGAGCUCAACUCCAGAACUGCCUUUGAUACUGAGGAUCUUGAGUAUGGGAGAGGCGAGUGGAACUGCGAGUGUAGAGGUGAAAUUCGUAGAUAUUCGCAAGAACACCAGUGGCGAAGGCGGCUCACUGGCCCAUUACUGACGCUGAGGCACGAAAGCGUGGGGAGCAAACAGG